CGCAAGGGGUGACUGAGUGGCGAACGGGUGAGUAACGCGUGGGUGACCUACCUUCGAGUGGGGGAUAACGUCCCGAAAGGGACGCUAAUACCGCAUGACAUCCUGCCUUUGAAUAGGUGGAGAUCAAAGCUGGGGAUCGCAAGACCCGGCGCUUGAUGAGGGGCCCGCGUCCGAUUAGCUAGUUGGUGGGGUAACGGCUCACCAAGGCGACGAUCGGUAUCCGGCCUGAGAGGGCGGACGGACACACUGGGACUGAGACACGGCCCAGACUCCUACGGGAGGCAGCAGUGGGGAAUUGUUCACAAUGGGCGCAAGCCUGAUGACGCAAUGCCGCGUGGAGGAUGAAGGUCUUCGGAUUGUAAACUCCUGUUGCCAGGGACGAAUAGCUCCGACCUAAUACGUCGGAGUAUGACGGUACCUGGUGAGGAAGCCCCGGCUAACUCUGUGCCAGCAGCCGCGGUAAUACAGAGGGGGCAAGCGUUGUUCGGAAUUACUGGGCGUAAAGGGCGCGUAGGCGGCCUUCUAAGUCGAACGUGAAAUCCCCGGGCUCAACCCGGGAACUGCGUCCGAUACUGGGAGGCUUGAAUCCGGGAGAGGGAUGUGGAAUUCCAGGUGUAGCGGUGAAAUGCGUAGAUAUCUGGAGGAACACCGGUGGCGAAGGCGGCAUCCUGGACCGGUAUUGACGCUGAGGCGCGAAAGCUAGGGGAGCAAACGGGAUUAGAUACCCCGGUAGUCCUAGCCCUAAACGAUGAAUGCUUGGUGUGGCGGGUAUCGAUCCCUGCCGUGCCGAAGCUUACGCAUUAAGCAUUCCGCCUGGGGAGUACGGUCGCAAGGCUG
rnacentral:rRNA from 1 species